GCCAGCCUGGCCUCUGCAGCUUUCCCUCCCACAGUUUUUCCCCGCCCCGAGAAGGCAAACUUCUCGGAAUUCUGGCAGAGUCCGGCUGCCUGCUGAAGGAAUGGGGAGAGCCAAUGCUCGGGAAGGAUGUUUGACCAGGCCAAACAAACUAACGACUGGAUGGAGACCUUUCUGAAAAUCUCAACGCUGGUGCUGGUUAUGAUUUUCUCCCUGAAGCCUCCUUUUAGCUGCAUCUGAUAAAUUUGGAAAAUGAAGCUUUUCUCUCUAAGAAAAUAUGCCAGCCAAGAUGAUGGAGUAGGAGGAACCUGUUUAGUCCAGCUCUGGGCACCACUCUACCCUCCCCACGAACUGCAUAUCUCAACUCCCAACCAUCAUAUCUCUCAUGCCCUGGGUGUGCGUUCUACAUCAAUAACACUGAUACCAAUCCCUUGUGAGGGAGGAUCUUGGACUUGGCCUCUGUGGCAAAGAAAAGGGCUGAAGAAUGGUUGCUCCUAUUCUGAUCCAGAGACAAGACUCAGGCAAGGAAUAGGAUAUCAAUAUGGUCCCUCAAGUGUCAAUCCCUGCAGGAGAAAGGAUCAAAGAAUCAUCCUCCAGGGUCUUCAGUAGCUGAGGCUGCAGCACCUAUGGAACAGUUGCCAGGCUACAUCUUCCCAGGAUAACAGCUGUGGGCACUGAGCUGGAAACACUGCUGCUCCCCAGAUUCUUGUGUUCAGGUUCCUGGGCUGUCUCCAUUAGAGUCUGAGGGGAGAUGGUGGUCAGGGUGGUGGUUUGGCUUCCCUUGUUCAUUCUGCCUCCCAUCUCUCCCUCAGAGUGCCUGGUUGCUUCUGGCUGCUUACCUGCUCUGUGGGUGGUAAUUGGUUGGCAAUGGGGGAGAUAGCUGGCCCUUCUUCACAGGAGUCAUCUCCCCAAAUGCUGGCUCUAAGGGAGGGCUGGAAGCAGGACUGGUGAUCUGGGAGGUGCUGCUAUUCCCAGGGUUCCUGUGCCUAUCUGCCAUUUUGUCAGAAGGCAUCAAGCCUGUGGGUGUAACUUUGGGUUACCAUAUUUCACCACAUGAUCGUUGCAGACGUUUGCCAAUUUUUCUUUUGCUAAAAAGUGGGGUGCGACCAUUAUGUGAAGCUUCUUUUCUUUAAAAAAAUUAUGCCAGUAUUACUUGUCUUGUAGUUUCUGCCAGUUUUGCACCAAUAUUUCACUGACUGAAAACUGCCUUUCCACAGCUCUGUUUCCUUGCUUAUUCAGUGGUCACAAUCACUUUCAGCUUGAAGCCUGCAGAAUAGUUUUUAUAUUUAUCCAUAAUCAGAAAGAAAUGCUUCACAUAUUAAUGUAUCGCUGGCAGAUAAACUAAACUGUGUUUAGUUAGGGCAGGAAGAUGCAAGUCUUACCAUUUCACAUGACUUACAGCAGCUUUGCCUUCCCACCCACUCCCCUUGCACUUACUGCUCUUCAUUGAGUUGAGGGACAACACUGUUACUACUGCAGCGCACUAAAUAACUCAAGUCAACUUUCAAAAAUAU